rnacentral:tRNA from 1 species
UAUAUUUAGAUGUAUGAUGCAUAUAGAGUUUUGAUCUCUGAGGUUUUAGUUUGAUUCUAAAAAAUAUAA